rnacentral:piRNA from 1 species
UGGAGACCUGCCUAUUUUA